AUCCAGCUGACAAGUCCCAAAUAGGACGAAGGGACGCGCGUCCUGAAU
rnacentral:hammerhead_ribozyme from 1 species